AUUGAACGCUGGCGGCAGGCCUAACACAUGCAAGUCGAGCGAGCGGCGGACGGGUGAGUAAUGUAUGGGGAUCUGCCUGAGGGAGGGGGAUAACUACUGGAAACGGUAGCUAAUACCGCAUACCAUCAGAUGACCCCAUAUGGGAUUAGCUUGUAGGUGGGGAAACGGCUCACCUAGGAGACGAUCCCUAGCUGGUCUGAGAGGAUGAUCAGCACCACGGGGCCUGAGACACGGCCCCGACUCCUGCGGGAGGCAGCAGUGGGGAAGAUUGCACAAUGGGCGCAAGCCUGAUGAAGCCAUGCCGCGUGUAUGAAGAAGGCCGUCGGGUUGUAAAGUACUUUCAGUCGGGAGGCGUUACCGACAGAAGAAGCACCGGCUAACUCCGUGCCAGCAGCCGCGGUAAUAC
rnacentral:rRNA from 1 species